rnacentral:rRNA from 1 species
UACGUAGGGGGCAAGCGUUGUCCGGAAUCAUUGGGCGUAAAGCGCGCGUAGGCGGCCUCAUAAGUCCGCUGUAAAAGUCAAAGGCUCAACCUUUGAAUGCCGGUGGAUACUGUGAGGCUAGAGUCCGGAAGAGGCGAGUGGAACUCCUGGUGUAGCGGUGGAAUGCGCAGAUAUCAGGAAGAACACCAACGGCGAAGGCAGCUCGCUGGGGCGGUACUGACGCUGAGGCGCGAAAGCGUGGGGAGCAAACAGG